rnacentral:rRNA from 1 species
UGGCGUACGGGUGAGUAACGCGUAGGUAAUCUACCCCAAAGUUUGGAAUAACCUGCCGAAAGGCGGGCUAAUACUGGAUAGAGCGACGGAAUCCGUGAUUGGGUUUUUCGGGAAAGGGAGCCUGUAAGGGCCCUCGCUUUGGGAUGAGCCUGCGUCUCAUUAGCUAGUUGGUGGGGUAACGGCCUACCAAGGCAUUGAUGGGUAGCUGGUCUGAGAGGAUGAUCAGCCACACUGGAACUGAAACACGGUCCAGACUCCUACGGGAGGCAGCAGUGGGGAAUCUUGCGCAAUGGACGAAAGUCUGACGCAGCCACGCCGCGUGAGUGAAGAAGGCCUUCGGGUUGUAAAGCUCUGUCGAGCGGGACGAAAAGUCGGCAGUUUAAGAGACGGUCGAUCUGACGGUACCGCUAGAGGAAGCACCGGCUAACUCCGUGCCAGCAGCCGCGGUAAUACGGAGGGUGCAAGCGUUGCUCGGAAUUAUUGGGCGUAAAGGGUAGGUAGGUGGUCUUAUUUGUCUGGGGUGAAAGCCUUGAGCUUAACUCAAGAAGUGCCCCAGAAACGGUGAGACUAGAGUCCUGGAGAGGGUCGUGGAAUUCCCGGUGUAGCGGUGAAAUGCGUAGAGAUCGGGAGGAACACCAGAGGCGAAGGCGGCGACCUGGACAGGAACUGACACUCAACUACGAAAGCGUGGGGAGCAAACAGGAUUAGAUACCCUGGUAGUCCACGCUGUAAACGAUGGAUAUUAGACUUGGUGGGACUUGACCCCUGCUGAGUCGGAGCUAACGCGAUAAAUAUCCCGCCUGGGAAGUACGGUCGCAAGACUAAACUCAAAGGAAUUGACGGGGCCCGCACAAGCGGUGAAUCAUGUGGUUUAAUUCG